UACGUAGGGGGCAAGCGUUAUCCGGAUUUACUGGGUGUAAAGGGAGCGUAGACGGCAGCGCAAGUCCGAAGUGAAAGCCCGGGGCCCAACCCCGGGACUGCUUUGGAAACUGCCAAGCUAGAGUGUCGGAGAGGUAAGUGGAAUUCCUAGUGUAGCGGUAAAAUGCGUAGAUAUAUGGAAGAACACCAGUGGCGAAGGCGGCCGCCUGGCCUGUUACUGACGCUGAGGCACGAAAGCGUGGGGAGCAAAUAGG
rnacentral:rRNA from 1 species